CGGGCAGAUGUCGAUUGGAGGUUGUGCCCUUGAGGCGUGGCUUCCGGAGCUAACGCGUUAAAUCGACCGCCUGGGGAGUACGGCCGCAAGGUUAAAACUCAAAUGAAUUGACGGGGGCCCGCACAAGCGGUGGAGCAUGUGGUUUAAUUCGAUGCAACGCGAAGAACCUUACCUGGUCUUGACAUCCACAGAACUUUCCAGAGAUGGUUUGGUGCCUUCGGGAACUGUGAGACAGGUGCUGCAUGGCUGUCGUCAGCUCGUGUUGUGAAAUGUUGGGUUAAGUCCCGCAACGAGCGCAACCCUUAUCCUUUGUUGCCAGCGGUCAGGCCGGGAACUCAAAGGAGACUGCCAGUGAUAAACUGGAGGAAGGUGGGGAUGACGUCAAGUCAUCAUGGCCCUUACGACCAGGGCUACACACGUGCUACAAUGGCGCAUACAAAGAGAAGCGACCUCGCGAGAGCAAGCGGACCUCAUAAAGUGCGUCGUAGUCCGGAUUGGAGUCUGCAACUCGACUCCAUGAAGUCGGAAUCGCUAGUAAUCGUAGAUCAGAAUGCUACGGUGAAUACGUUCCCGGGCCUUGUACACACCGCCCGUCACACCAUGGGAGUGGGUUGCAAAAGAAGUAGGUAGCUUAACCUUCGGGAGGGCGCUUACCACUUUGUGAUUCAUGACUGGGGUGAAGUCGUACAAAGGGGGAAACCAAA
rnacentral:rRNA from 1 species